UCGGGAAUCAGAGUUUUUAAGGAUAAUUUGGUUGGGGCAGGGGCAGUGAAUCGGGAGUGCUGAUUGGUUGACUCACAGAUGAAAUCAUAGAGAGUUGAAACUGUCCUCUUAUACUGAGUCAUUUCCUUGGUGGAGGCCACAAGACCAGAUGAGCCAGUUUAUUGAUCUGGGUGGUGCUAGCCGAUCCAUGAAGUGUAGGGUCUACAAAAUACGUCAAGCACUGAUCUUAGGUUCUACAAUAGUUAUGUUAUUCCCAGGAACAAUUUGAGGAGGUUCAGAAUCUUGCCACUUCCAGCUGCAUGACUCCUAAACCAUAAUUUCUAAUCCUGUAGCUAAUUUGUUAGUCCUUUAAAAAAAAAGCAGUCUAGCCCCCCAGGCAGGAAGGGUGUUUAUUUUGGGAAAGAGCUGUUAUUGUCUUUGUUUCAAAGCUAAACUAUAAACUAAGUUCCUCCCAAAGUUCAUUGGGCCCACACCCAAGAAUGAACAAGCACAACUUGAAGGUUUGAAAGUAAGAUGGAGUCGAUUAGGUCAACCACAAUUUUCUCAGUUGUAAUUUUUGCAAAGGCGGUUUCACUCUGACUCUUAGGACAAGGGUCUGAGCCAACCAAGGAGGGUGGGAGGAACGAUAGUUUUUGCUUAUGGAGUCAAGUGAGCUUGACAUUGUGACUUUCUCCUGUUUCUGGAUCUUACUUUCUGGAGGCCGGUGAUAAGAGUUCUCACAGAUUAAAGAACAAGGAGAUGGCUGGCUAUUUAAGAAGGAAAGGCAGAGGCUGCAGAAAUUGAGCCUAACGGCUUAUCAGAUGGGAUGGAUAAUUCUUUAAGUUUAAAAGAACUACUCAUUUUCCCCAACAUCUGUCUUUGCCAUCUUCCUAUCUAAGGAACCUUUCACUUUUUAGCUGGGGACAUAGCUUUCUGGUAUGAGAACUACACUGCUCAAACUUCCAAUCAGCUUGUAUGCACUUGGUGAAUCUUACCUACCACAAACAGAAGUCUGGAAAGUGAAAAUUUAUUUCCUUUUCACCAUGACCAGCCUUGUUCAGAACAUCUGAGAGGCACAGACCUGAGAAAGAAUCCCCAGGCUGAAGAGGUAGAAGUUGGCAGAAGUUAAAAGCAAUGUCUCCACAAUGGAGAAGUGACAUGCUAAAGGAACCUGGCAUCUAGACAUUUCCUAACCCCCAAUCCCUCCUUACAUAUGACCUGCUCUUAGAGGAGUACAGCGUGGUGGUUAGGAGUGUGGACUCGGCAGCCAGAAAUCCUGGGAUCUGUUGCUUGUUAGCUGUGGGCCUUAAGCUAAGAACUUAACCUCUCUGUGCCUCAGUUGCUCCAUCUGUUCAAAUGAAGAUAAUGAUAAUGAAGAUGAUAUCACCUGCUGUGUAGGAUUGUUAUGAAAAAUCAAGAAUUAAUAUUUGUAAAUCACUUACAGGGUCUGGCACAUAAUAAGUGCUGUGUGGGUGUUUGUUAAAUAAAAUAAUAUACAAUGACAUAGGCAUUGUGGUUGUUCUUCCUAGUCUCCUAAAGAAGCAGUUGUUUCUGAAACCUUCCCAAACUCAAAUAUAGCUGAAGUUGCUCAAAAUAUCAUGUGAAAAUCCCUCCUCUUCACCAGCCCCUCCACUGUAGAGGCUUCUUUGUGCUCACAGAAGCCCUAUAUUUCAGUGGUCUGUUCUGGAUGUCUAAACUUCUCAUAAGAAGUGAUAUUUUAUGGGGCCCGGUGCAGUGGCUCACGCCUGUAAUCUUAGCACUUUGGGAAGCCGAGGCAGGUGGAUCAUUUGAGGUCA
rnacentral:lncRNA from 1 species